CUUUCAGUUCAAAAGUAGUGGUAACUUCUUUCUCUUCUUCUUUUCUUUCUUUUUUCCUUCCUUCUCCUCUCCCUUCCCUCCUCCUCCCCUUUCUUCUUCUCCUCUUCUUCCUCCUCCUUCUCUUCCCUUUUUUCUCCUUCUUUUCCUCCUCAUCUGCCUCCUGCUCCUCUGUUUCCUCUUCCUAUUUCCUCCCCACCCCCAUACAUCUCAGCAGGCUUGAAAACUCGGUGGGUGCAUUUAUUUGUCAGACUGACGGGAGCUGGGGGGUCAGUGGGUGGAGCACUCUUUGGGCUUGGCUGUGGGCUCUAGAGGAACUGUAGGGCAAAGCCAGAUUGUGAUGCAAGAAUUGCAGUGGCAAGGGGUGUCACACUGACCUUCAGGAAGUCAGCACGAUGCUUCUUCCUGGAAGACUCAGAGAAUUAAAGAACGCUUGAAGAGUCAGUGCUGCCUGCAAUAAGACUGGAUUAGUGAGAAGUAAUUUCUUCCCUUUGUCCCAUCUUUGCCUCCAAAAAAAGGACUGUAUUCCUGCAUUUAUUACAGCACAGGUGCAUCUGGCUUUGCAAGUUGGAGGAGAUGAAAAGGGAAGGAAACUUGUCUCUUCCUACACGCAGGAGAGUGGCAGCCAAACCAGCUGCCUUCACAGCGUCACCUCCCUGAUGCUCCGUGCCUGUCCCGGUUCCUCAGUCUCAGGGCCAGGCAGCUGCUCACUUCCCACUCUGUGAUCAGAUAACCCGGCUCACAAAAAGCCCGGGGAUAAUCCCUUGCAUUGUUCAAUAAAGUAAUUGCUUUGUGCUCUCA